rnacentral:rRNA from 1 species
UACGAAGGGGGCGAGCGUUGUUCGGAAUUACUGGGCGUAAAGGGCGCGCAGGCGGCUCUGAAAGUCAGAUGUGAAAGCCCCGGGCUUAACCUGGGAACUGCAUUUGAUACUCUAGAGCUUGAGUACGGGAGAGGAGAGUGGAAUUCCCAGUGUAGAGGUGAAAUUCGUAGAUAUUGGGAAGAACACCGGUGGCGAAGGCGGCUCACUGGCUCGUAACUGACGCUCAGGCGCGACAGCGUGGGGAGCAAACAGG